rnacentral:rRNA from 1 species
UAAGGAAUAUUGGUCAAUGGAGGCAACUCUGAACCAGCCAUGCCGCGUGCAGGAAGACUGCCCUAUGGGUUGUAAACUGCUUUUAUGCCGGAAUAAACCUCUCCUCGUGAGGAGAGCUGAAUGUACGGUAAGAAUAAGGAUCGGCUAACUCCGUGCCAGCAGCCGCGGUAAUACGGAGGAUCCAAGCGUUAUCCGGAUUUAUUGGGUUUAAAGGGAGCGUAGGCGGCCUUUUAAGUCAGGGGUGAAAGACGGUGGCUCAACCAUCGCAGUGCCCUUGAUACUGAAGGGCUUGAAUGUAGCUGAGGUAGGCGGAAUGUGACAAGUAGCGGUGAAAUGCAUAGAUAUGUCACAGAACACCGAUUGCGAAGGCAGCUUACCAAACUAUGAUUGACGCUGAGGC